rnacentral:rRNA from 1 species
GACGAACGCUGGCGGCGUGCUUAACACAUGCAAGUCGAACGGAAAGGCCCUGCUUUUGUGGGGUGCUCGAGUGGCGAACGGGUGAGUAACACGUGAGUAACCUGCCCUUGACUUUGGGAUAACUUCAGGAAACUGGGGCUAAUACCGGAUAGGAGCUCCCGCUGCAUGGUGGGGGUUGGAACGUUUCGGCGGUUGGGGAUGGACUCGCGGCUUAUCAGCUUGUUGGUGGGGUAGUGGCUUACCAAGGCUGUGACGGGUAGCCGGCCUGAGAGGGUGACCGGGCACAUUGGGACUGAGAUACGGCGCAGACUCCUACGGGAGGCAGCAGUGGGGAAUAUGGCACAAUGGGCGGGAGCGUGAUGAGGCAACGCCGCGUGCGGGAUGACGGCCUGCGGGUUGUAAACCGCUUUCGCCUGUGACGAAGCGUGAGUGACGGUAAUGGAUAAAGAAGCACCGGCUAACUACGUG